rnacentral:rRNA from 1 species
CGUUAAGUUGCAGGGUAUAGACCCGAAACCCGGUGAUCUAGCCAUGGGCAGGUUGAAGGUUGGGUAACACUAACUGGAGGACCGAACCGACUAAUGUUGAAAAAUUAGCGGAUGACUUGUGGCUGGGGGUGAAAGGCCAAUCAAACCGGGAGAUAGCUGGUUCUCCCCGAAAGCUAUUUAGGUAGCGCCUCGUGAAUUCAUCUCCGGGGGUAGAGCACUGUUUCGGCAAGGGGGUCAUCCCGACUUACCAACCCGAUGCAAACUGCGAAUACCGGAGAAUGUUAUCACGGGAGACACACGGCGGGUGCUAACGUCCGUCGUGAAGAGGGAAACAACCCAGACCGCCAGCUAAGGUCCCAAAGUCAUGGUUAAGUGGGAAACGAUGUGGGAAGGCCCAGACAGCCAGGAUGUUGGCUUAGAAGCAGCCAUCAUUUAAAGAAAGCGUAAUAGCUCACUGGUCGAGUCGGCCUGCGCGGAAGAUGUAACGGGGCUAAACCAUGCACCGAAGCUGCGGCAGCGACACUGUGUGUUGUUGGGUAGGGGAGCGUUCUGUAAGCCUGUGAAGGUGUGCUGUGAGGCAUGCUGGAGGUAUCAGAAGUGCGAAUGCUGACAUAAGUAACGAUAAAGCGGGUGAAAAGCCCGCUCGCCGGAAGACCAAGGGUUCCUGUCCAACGUUAAUCGGGGCAGGGUGAGUCGACCCCUAAGGCGAGGCCGAAAGGCGUAGUCGAUGGGAAACAGGUUAAUAUUCCUGUACUUGGUGUUACUGCGAAGGGGGGACGGAGAAGGCUAUGUUGGCCGGGCGACGGUUGUCCCGGUUUAAGCGUGUAGGCUGGUUUUCCAGGCAAAUCCGGAAAAUCAAGGCUGAGGCGUGAUGACGAGGCACUACGGUGCUGAAGCAACAAAUGCCCUGCUUCCAGGAAAAGCCUCUAAGCAUCAGGUAACAUCAAAUCGUACCCCAAACCGACACAGGUGGUCAGGUAGAGAAUACCAAGGCGCUUGAGAGAACUCGGGUGAAGGAACUAGGCAAAAUGGUGCCGUAACUUCGGGAGAAGGCACGCUGAUAUGUAGGUGAAGUCCCUCGCGGAUGGAGCUGAAAUCAGUCGAAGAUACCAGCUGGCUGCAACUGUUUAUUAAAAACACAGCACUGUGCAAACACGAAAGUGGACGUAUACGGUGUGACGCCUGCCCGGUGCCGGAAGGUUAAUUGAUGGGGUCAGCGCAAGCGAAGCUCUUGAUCGAAGCCCCGGUAAACGGCGGCCGUAACUAUAACGGUCCUAAGGUAGCGAAAUUCCUUGUCGGGUAAGUUCCGACCUGCACGAAUGGCGUAAUGAUGGCCAGGCUGUCUCCACCCGAGACUCAGUGAAAUUGAACUCGCUGUGAAGAUGCAGUGUACCCGCGGCAAGACGGAAAGACCCCGUGAACCUUUACUAUAGCUUGACACUGAACAUUGAGCCUUGAUGUGUAGGAUAGGUGGGAGGCUUUGAAGUGUGGACGCCAGUCUGCAUGGAGCCGACCUUGAAAUACCACCCUUUAAUGUUUGAUGUUCUAACGUGGACCCGUGAUCCGGGUUGCGGACAGUGUCUGGUGGGUAGUUUGACUGGGGCGGUCUCCUCCUAAAGAGUAACGGAGGAGCACGAAGGUUGGCUAAUCCUGGUCGGACAUCAGGAGGUUAGUGCAAUGGCAUAAGCCAGCUUGACUGCGAGCGUGACGGCGCGAGCAGGUGCGAAAGCAGGUCAUAGUGAUCCGGUGGUUCUGAAUGGAAGGGCCAUCGCUCAACGGAUAAAAGGUACUCCGGGGAUAACAGGCUGAUACCGCCCAAGAGUUCAUAUCGACGGCGGUGUUUGGCACCUCGAUGUCGGCUCAUCACAUCCUGGGGCUGAAGUAGGUCCCAAGGGUAUGGCUGUUCGCCAUUUAAAGUGGUACGCGAGCUGGGUUUAGAACGUCGUGAGACAGUUCGGUCCCUAUCUGCCGUGGGCGCUGGAGAACUGAGGGGGGCUGCUCCUAGUACGAGAGGACCGGAGUGGACGCAUCACUGGUGUUCGGGUUGUCAUGCCAAUGGCACUGCCCGGUAGCUAAAUGCGGAAGAGAUAAGUGCUGAAAGCAUCUAAGCACGAAACUUGCCCCGAGAUGAGUUCUCCCUGACCCUUUAAGGGUCCUGAAGGAACGUUGAAGACGACGACGUUGAUAGGCCGGGUGUGUAAGCGCAGCGAUGCGUUGAGCUAACCGGUACUAAUGAACCGUGAGGCUUAACCUU